CUGACAUGUGUGCGAGUCAAUGGGUGAGUAAACCCGUAGGGCGCAGGGAAGCUGAUUGGCUGGAUCCCUCACGGGUGCACACCCGACCGACCUUGAUCUUCUGAGAAGGGUUCGAGUGUGAGCAUGCCUGUCAGGACCCGAAAGAUGGUGAACUAUGCCUGAGAGAGGUGAAGCCAGAGGAAACUCUGGUGGAGGCCCGCAGCGAUACUAACGUGUAAAUCGUUCGUCUGACUUGGGUAUAGGGGCGAAAGACUAAUUGAACCAUCUAGUAUCUGG
rnacentral:ncRNA from 2 species